GGAGAGGUGGCAGAGUGGUCGAAUGCACCGCACUCGAAAUGCGGCGUGGGGGUAACUCCACCGUGGGUUCGAAUCCCACCCUCUCCGCCA
rnacentral:tRNA from 1 species